UUGGUGUGUGUGUGUGUGUGUGCCUGUCACAGGGAGAGAAUGGUGUGGUCUUCUACCUCACUCUAGAUGUUGUGGAGACCAACUGCAGCGUUCUCAGCAAGAGGGACUGGAAGAGCUGUGACAUUCGUCCAAGGGAAAACAUCAAGGUAUAUGGACAGUGCAAAGCUGCUAUCUUCAUCAAUAAGGUGCAUAGAGUGGAGCGCCUCUACAAAUACAACUGUGUUAUCAGACCAGGUAGUGCGCGUGAGGGCUGUCUCGGUUGUCCAAGUUUACCUCGCGAUCAUGAAGAAGCUGAAAUUCAGAAGACUGUGACCCAGUCUCUGGAGAAAUUCCACAACCAGAGCAGGCCGGCCAAUCGUUUCACUCUGCUCAAAAUCUCCCGUUCUACUUCACAGGUCGUAGCAGGUACGAAUUACCGUGUGGAAUACACCAUCCAGGAGACCACCUGCCCCCACAGCACAGAAGCAGUGACGGCUGAGAACUGCCCCCCUAUGGACUGCGAGUUUGCUGUGAGU